ACGAACGCUGGCGGCGUGCCUAAUACAUGCAAGUUGAGCGCUGAAGGUUGGUACUUGUACCGACUGGAUGAGCAGCGAACGGGUGAGUAACGCGUGGGGAAUCUGCCUUUGAGCGGGGGACAACAUUUGGAAACGAAUGCUAAUACCGCAUAAAAACUUUAAACACAAGUUUUAAGUUUGAAAGGUGCAAUUGCAUCACUCAAAGAUGAUCCCGCGUUGUAUUAGCUAGUUGGUGAGGUAAAGGCUCACCAAGGCGAUGAUACAUAGCCGACCUGAGAGGGUGAUCGGCCACAUUGGGACUGAGACACGGCCCAAACUCCUACGGGAGGCAGCAGUAGGGAAUCUUCGGCAAUGGACGAAAGUCUGACCGAGCAACGCCGCGUGAGUGAAGAAGGUUUUCGGAUCGUAAAACUCUGUUGGUAGAGAAGAACGUUGGUGAGAGUGGAAAGCUCAUCAAGUGACGGUAACUACCCAGAAAGGGACGGCUAACUACGUG
rnacentral:rRNA from 1 species